UUGAUCACAUCACUGUCUUGAUCCAAGGGGAAUGAAAGGGAAGGGCUUGGAAGUGAUUGUCGCUCAUUUCCCACCUCAAUCCCUUCUAAUUCAUGGAUUUGAUAUGAGCCGAACUAGGCUUAAGCAAUCUUGGUAAAAAAAAAAACUAGGCUUAAGUAACCCUUCACGCUAAAACCUUCUCGGAUAGCCUUUCAAAAUAAAAUAAAAUCAGAUAACAUAGUUAAGCUCAUUGCAUGCCUAGUAAUUCUGGUCCAGAAAGAGCACUGGAUCAAAGUACAUGGCCUCCCUCUCCAAGUAUUUUGUUCUCUAUACUUGUUGACUAUUGGGACGGUAAGGCAUUUGAUGCAUCACUGUCAGGAUGCCACCGGGUAACCAUUACCCAUUUCCUUAUCCAUACCCAUGCAAUUGGGUCGGAUAUGGAUAGAAGAGUUUUUUGCCCGUAGGAAAUGGGUCGGAUAUGGACAAUUGUCCACUGAAGUAACAGUUAAACGGGGAAUACCCAAACUCAAGCCACGAGUGAGAAGGUCAAAGAUCGACGGCGACCGCCCGGGCGCGCAGGAGCUGGCGCGGCAGGACGGAGGCGGCGGGGCAGCUAGGAGGCGCGGCAAGACGGGGGCGGCGGGACGGCCGCGGGGCAGCUGGGAGGCUGCGCAGCAGGGCGGGGACGGCGGGACGGCCGUGACGGGCGCGCAGGAGGCGGCGGGCGGCGGCAGGGCAGCUAGGAGGCGGCGCGGCAGGCCGGGGGCGGCGGGACGGCCGCGACGGGCGCGCAGGAGGCGGCACGGCAGGCGGGAGGCGGCGGGACGGCGGCGACCGCCGACGGGCGCGCGGGAGGCGGCGCGGCAGGCCGAAGGCGGCGGGCGGCCGCGGGACGGUCACGCAAGAGGCGGUCGCGGGACUGUCGCGCGGUAAGGUAAUGGACAAAAUGGGUGAUGGACAUUACGGGGAGGGUGAUUACGGGUAAUUUUUACUUUGGGUAUGGGGAGGGCAACACGUGGGUAUACCCACCCCAACAGCAUGCUGACAUCACUGCCACAUGAGCUACACACGCCGCUUUGCUACCAUGUUGAUUAUUAGAGAUGGUCUUGGACAUGCGCUCCGUGUUCUGAUCAUGCAAGACAAAACCUGCCUCCUGGCACACGCCGCCUACCAAGCCACAUAGUCGACUGUCCGCUGCCGUAGCCUGACGCGCAUGAAAUGCAAAUGGUAGUAAUACAACGCUGCAUCUGUGCUGGAUCAUACAAAGGUUUAGUUCAGGUAUAGUUGGAAAACCAACAAACUUAACCAUGGUGCAGUGCACCUGCUGUCCAUGGAAACAAAAUCAUCCGCUUUAUCCGGCA